rnacentral:rRNA from 1 species
GAUGAACGCUGGCGGCGUGCCUAAUACAUGCAAGUCGAGCGAACAGACGAGGAGCUUGCUCCUCUGACGUUAGCGGCGGACGGGUGAGUAACACGUGGAUAACCUACCUAUAAGACUGGGAUAACUUCGGGAAACCGGAGCUAAUACCGGAUAAUAUAUUGAACCGCAUGGUUCAAUAGUGAAAGACGGUUUUGCUGUCACUUAUAGAUGGAUCCGCGCCGCAUUAGCUAGUUGGUAAGGUAACGGCUUACCAAGGCAACGAUGCGUGCCGACCUGAGAGGGUGAUCGGCCACACUGGAACUGAGACACGGUCCAGACUCCUACGGGAGGCAGCAGUAGGGAAUCUUCCGCAAUGGGCGAAAGCUUGACGGAGCAACGCCGCGUGAGUGAUGAAGGUCUUCGGAUCGUAAAACCCUGUUAUUAGGGAAGAACAAAUGUGUAAGUAACUAUGCACGUCUUGACGGUACCUAAUCAGAAAGCCACGGCUAACUACGUG